UUUGCACAUUCAGCGGCAGACGGGUGAGUAACACGUAUCUAACCUUCCCCUUACUUGGGCAUAGCCUCUGGAAACGGAGAUUAAUUUCCGAUGUGGUGUACAUUUCGCAUGUUUUGCGCACCAAAGAUUUAUCGGUAAGGGAUGGGGAUGCGCUCCAUUAGGUUGUAGGUAGGGUAAUGGCCUACCUAGCCUAUGAUGGAUAGGGGUUCUGAGAGGAAGGUCCCCCACAUUGGAACUGCGACACGGUCCAAACUCCUACGGGAGGCAGCAGUGAGGAAUAUUGGUCAAUGGCCGGAAGGCUGAACCAGCCAAGUAGCGUGCAGGAUGACUGCCUUAUGGGUUGUAAACUGCUUU
rnacentral:rRNA from 1 species